rnacentral:lncRNA from 1 species
ACAGAGUAGGACCUACCUUUCCACCCCAGACAGAGUAGAACCUACCUUUCCACCCAGGACAGAGUAGGACCUACCUUUUCACCCCAGACAGAGUAGGCCUACCUUUCCACCCACCCCAGACAGAGUAGGUCUAACCUUUCCACCCAGACGAGUAGGUCUACCUUUCCACCCCAGACAGAGUAGGGCCUACCUUUCCACCCCAGACAGAGUAGGGCCUACCUUUCCACCCCAGACAGAGUAGGGCCUACCUUUCCACCCCAGACAGAAGUAGGGCCUACCU